AGGGAAUCUUCCGCAAUGGACGAAAGUCUGACGGAGCAACGCCGCGUGAGUGAUGAAGGCUUUCGGGUCGUAAAACUCUGUUGUUAGGGAAGAACAAGUGCUAGUUGAAUAAGCUGGCACCUUGACGGUACCUAACCAGAAAGCCACGGCUAACUACGUGCCAGCAGCCGCGGUAAUACGUAGGUGGCAAGCGUUAUCCGGAAUUAUUGGGCGUAAAGCGCGCGCAGGUGGUUUCUUAAGUCUGAUGUGAAAGCCCACGGCUCAACCGUGGAGGGUCAUUGGAAACUGGGAGACUUGAGUGCAGAAGAGGAAAGUGGAAUUCCAUGUGUAGCGGUGAAAUGCGUAGAGAUAUGGAGGAACACCAGUGGCGAAGGCGACUUUCUGGUCUGUAACUGACACUGAGGCGCGAAAGCGUGGGGAGCAAACA
rnacentral:rRNA from 1 species